rnacentral:lncRNA from 1 species
GAAUGUUUCGGAGGAAGUUGCAAGGAAUCAUAUAAAUAACAUAGUAAAGAAAACAUGGAAGAAAAUAAAUGGACACUGCUUCGCAAAAUCUCCUACGCUGCAAUUGCUUGUUAAUAUCAACACCAAUAUGGCACGGGUGGUCCAUAACCUCUACCAACAUGGAGAUGGGUUUGGUGUUCAAGAUCGCCAUGAGAAUAAAAAGCAGAUCCUCACCCUCCUUGUUGAACCUUUCAAGCUCGAUUUACCAGAAUUUUCCUUCUAAAGUAGAGUGUAUACCUAGAUGGUUUAUAUAGCUUAGAACCUAGAAGUGAACUCAUCAACAAUAUCAUUAUUGAUGAGCCAAAUAUGUAUCCUUUAAAUGAAGUGAUUGUAAUUUACUUUCCCUUUUUUUAAGAGUGCAAUUAUUGGUAGUUUUUCACAAUGUAGUUACUAUCCAUUCACCAUAGUUAAUAGAUUUUGAAGGACAAAUCCAUCUAAUAAUCUUUUUAAUUUUACUGACUACAUAUGUAUGACAUGUUGCAUAAAUUUUAUGUUCAUAUAUGAUAUCAAAAACCAAAUCAGACUUGAAUU